GAAGGAUAUGGCCAUUGGCUGAUUUGAUGAUCGUGAAAGCAUGCUCAAAAUUGUGAGUCGCGCUGGCAUAGGUUCAUGCUCCUUUGUGAUCCCCCCCCCCCCCCCGCUGUAGCUUCCUGAGCACUCUUUGCAACGGAAAGAAGAGAACAAGCAUUUAAAGCGUGCAAUGUAUUCCUAUAACUCUGCUGGUACUUGGCGCAUUCAAAAAAACAAUUUCUGGCAAUUGAUUGGUAAGGUCAUUCAGUGAUUAUUUGGAAAAGUGUUGCAGGGCCCCUUCAAGGAGUGCAUUAAAGUUCCUGCUCAUGAAAAGUGAAUAAUAGCUUUUGUAUACUUGGGGCUGCCUUAGCGAAGGAAAUAGGCAAAUUCUUGCUUUUUACGAUGUUAAGGGACUUUUCAUUACAAUGUAGUUUUCACAUAAGCUUCAGAUUGGGAAUAUUUUGUAUUUAAAAUUAUUGGGAUAUAUAUCCAGCUUGUGUUAUCUCACUAAGUGACGUCAUGUGGCAAUAUGCGUGAAAAGCGUGGAGCACAUCAGCUUCCACAUCAGCUAUGGUGAGCUCCGAUAACAAUGCGGCUAAAUUGUCUUAAUGCUAUCUUAAUGCUUAAUGCUAUAAGCAGAACCCUUUUUGUUUGUGGCAUUAGCUGCUGUCUGGCAUCACUUACUACACAACUAUUUCGUGAUCACUUUUGAGUUUGAUAUAUACUAGGUUCCACUGAAAGUUGAUCUCGAUAUGCUGCACCUUCAGUCAUCAGUUGAUGAACAGUCGCAUCAGGUGUCACAUGCUGAUUGAUGACUGUGAAACUAGUGUUAUGCCCAGUCCAAGAAUUCCCGAUCCUUGUAUUACUGAAAUGUCUAUACCCUGGAAUUCUCUUGUAUCAAAAAGGCUGUCCCAACAUGAUCAUCAGUAGGAAGUUAUGGGAUUAAGAUACUAUAAGCGUAUGAGUGACAUUUUAAUAAAGGGUGAAGGUUGCUUAAUGGCAGCAAGGCUAGUUUUGCUGUGCAUCGGGGAAAGCUUUGGUUUCGCUUCAGCCAAGUGCGACUGCCCUUGCCACCCCACUGCCUGUUGACGCUGCUCCACUGCGUGCAUGUGCUUUCUUCUCUUGCCUGCUACAUCUGCAUGUGUUUGCAUUUCUGAAUGCUUGCUUGUCUUUUUAACGCACAUUUCUCUGUGGUCCCACGCAUGCGUCUGUGUUCCACCAAUUUCUGUGCCUUAUUGUCAUGCUGCCUUGCUUGUACAUGCUUCGUGAAACUUUGUGUUCAAGCUCUCAGCCCACACUUUGUAUGCUGGUUAGUUAGCUAUGGAGCAGGCUUGUCGUUUCACCAUAGUGGUCUUCAUGCAGCCCAAGGGGCAAGAAAUAAUGAGAGGAAUCUGUUCACCAUGCCAAUAUGCUGAUGCAGCACGAGAGUGUCAUGCCGGGUGAGAAGGUGCAUCGUAGACGCCACUUCAGGCAUGUUCACAUAAGGCAGGGUGCAGGUUUUGUAGUUGGUGGAACAGAUUUACACUAAUAGCACAAAUGUUAGCUUUGGACACCAGAGAAAGGAAAGGACAUAUGUCGCUUUUUUGCUUGUUUCUUCUUUGGCAUCCAAGUUUUAUGUUCACAUUAUUUUUAUUUUUUACAUCCACUUCCAUGGAAGUGGCGUAAAAAUGCUACAUGUAAUACUGCUCCAUAGUUAGCAAGUUGUGUAAAAUUUUGUGUAUCUGUGUCAAGAAGAAUGUGUGGUGAGUCAUUUAGUGACAGCCAUUCCUGGAUGCUGCCCUGUGUAUCUGAUGUAAGGCCCCUAAAAAUAGCUGAUAGCAACAGUCUGCGAGCAGACAAUGCCUGCUUAAUCCAUGAAUCCCAAGGAUUGCAUGGGUAGAUGCAAGGAAACAAUGCUGUGAUUGGUUUUACUUAGGUAGUCAUGAACAGCUGUACAAGCUUUUGUGUCUUGCGCAGGCAUGGCCUUUUCCUUAUAGCUCUCGGAUGCACUUGUUUGUUUUUUCAGGGUUCCACACUUGCUCUUGUAUUAUGUUGUGCACACUUUUCUCAUGCCUGUGUGUAACCCACCACUGAAGCUUAGUGGCUAUGGCAUCGCACUGCUGAGUGUAAGAUUAUGGGUUCAAUUCCUAUGCACUGCAGCUGCAUUUCGAUAGGGCAAAAUGCAAGAAUGCCUGUCUACUUCAAUUUGGGUGCACAUUAAAUAACCCCAGGUUGGGAAAAUAGUUCCAGAGUUCCCCCACUACAGCAUGCUUCAUAAUCAUGUUGUGGUUUUGCAUGUAAAUAAACUGGAUUUCUUUUCUUUUUUUUUUUCUUUUUUUUGUCCAUGUGGUGAGACUAAGGUCCCUAUGACUGCAAAAGCAAGGGCCUUCCAUCCACACAUUUCGAGGAUGGAACAAAAACGUGCUGUACCAAACUGUAGCAGUGGAGACGCAUUAUUUAAGGAGAAUAUAAGGACUUUAGCAGGCUGAAUGACUCAUUAAAAUUCUGAGCUUAGGCUCUUACUACUCCAAGGAACGAUCGGGAGUUCAUAUUUCAUAAUGCAUUUGGGAGAUACACAUUUUUAAUGCCUAGGAAACGUUGCUCUGGCUUUGGGCUGAAGUAAUUUUUCACAAGCUAGAGAGGCCUGUUUUAGCGCCAGAUGCUGUAGCGUCAAUAUACUCUAAGUAUGCAAAAAACUCGCCUUCUGCUCGCAAAAAAAAGAAAAAGGAAAAGCGGAUAAUUUUAAGGGGGAAGUGAAAUACAGUACCGUAAUGUUUGAAGAGGCUUGUAUCGUAUUUCCCUGUGUGCUUUAGUCUAGGUGGGAAGUAGACUGAUGUGUUAUACAAGGGCCAUGUAAUGUAUCUACCCAUUCAUAUUUGUAUGGUGAUAUGUUUGCUUUAGUUCUUGCACAAUAAGCAUAGUGGUCUGUGAAAAACCUUUCUUAAGCAUGGGCCUGGCUGAGGUGACUGCCUGUACCCAUCUUCAGAAACAUGUGGUUGUCCAUCUGGGAUUGAGUCAUGUACAAGUGUGGUCAAAAGUUCCCAGGCCGCACUGCCAUAGUAUCACAUGGGAAACUGGCCUGCGUGCAAACUUUUUACCAGCCCUGUACCUCUUGCAACUGAGCUGCACACUCUAUUCAUUGAGCUCACCAGAUUAAAAUCCAUUCUCUAAAUGCCAAUUUUUUGUUUUUGUUGAGUAUGGAAUUUCUAGGGGAGGGUAAAAUGACUACUAAAUAAGGACGAGGCAAGGGCUCAAGGGCUAUGCUCUUGUUACAACUGUGUUGCUUCAUUACUUCAUUCAUGUAUUGAUUCCUCACAUUGUGCUCUCUUCUGUACGUCGUCAUGCUGCAGUUGUCAGGCCUCUUAGAUGAAGUUGCACACCUUGCUAUUUCCACGUUCAUAAUUACAAUAAUAACCUUUCGCUGAACAGCAUUAGCACGCAGCAUGAAACACACCGUACAAUGUGCAUAAUGCAUUUUUGCAUGGUCCCAGUGACGUACUGAAUGAUGCUGGAGUGUCCAGUCUGCCACUGGUAGCUUGCACAGGCAGCAGGGCACCUGUAGCCCACCAGUAACACCUAUGUCACACGGGCACUCUUGAAACGCCACAAGUAUUGACUCGGUAGCCAUAGAAAGCGCCCAUGUACCAGCUCGAACUUGGCCAUUGAGUCGGAGGACUAUCGAUUGAAAAGCCUUCCAAACGCCCGUGCGACACGGGCAUAACAAGAGCUAUCUUAUGGGACAUAUCGUGGUUACAUUAAUGUUUAGUACAUUGUUCUGAGUGUUUCCUUGAUCACUGCCUUUGCUAUUGGUAUGUCAGAGGCAUUAUGCUACCAAGCCAUGGCACUCGUAUUUUGACAGAGGUGGAACGCAAAAUGUACUCGUCUGUUAUGCUUUGGGCACAUGGUAAGAACACCAGGUGGUCAAAAAGUCAUCCAAAAUCUCUUACUACAGAGUAUCUCAUAGCUUGGGAAUGUUGUUGGAAUGUUAAACCUCGUAACAUAAUUGCUCUGUGGUGCAGAUUAGAUUAUUAUAGCACAUUGUGUCAGCACGUGACCACUUUAGCCUUUGUGAGAAACAGAUUUGUGCUGUGCGGGCACCAGGGCUAGUACGUCGCAGUUGGCUUUAUUGCGCAUUCUAGAUUAACCGGUUUGCAGAGGUUUGCAAACCUGGAGCUGACGAGUUCUUGUAGAAUGUGCAGUCAAGAUGGGGAAUCGCAUCCUGUGCAUCACAUGGCCAUGAAGCACUGUGACCAGUGCACGUAAGUAUGGUGUGGAAAGUGAGUCCAUGUUAUUUUUCACUAUGGCCAAUGUAGAGGUUCAGUUAAGUUAAAGAGCAUAAAGAAUGCUGCUGUGUGGGACUCACAAGAGCUCAAUUGUUUAAUUUUAUUUCUGUGUUAAUGGGCCUCGGUCUUUUUCUACUCUAUGCACAGAUGAAAAAGGUCCCUGACCUGUGCUCCGCCAGUGCCAUGGAUGCCAGCGACACUUAAAGCUGCCACGGGACCUGAGUCAGAGCUGCUGCUGGGCCAACGUUCUUGCCAACGAGUGCGAAGAGGGUCGCCGUGGUGUCGUGUGGAUGCUCAAAAGAAUAUUUUUGCACUCUUGUGUUCUCACUCGCUGUCUUUCCUUUGUUUUGCGUUCUACAAGAAUAAAGCCAGUAUUCUUGCAUA